GCCAAAGGCAGGCGCUAAACCGCUGCGCCACCCAGGGAUCCCAGGAUAAGAGUUUUUAGCAUUGGCCUGGAAAAAGAACACUUUCAUCCGUAUCUCCUGGGCCACUGCUAAAGGAAGGUUUAUUUAUGAACACCCAGAUGACGUGCUCCAUGGAGUGCCAUCCAGAAGGGUCCAGCGCUCAGGAGGAGCUUCUAUCCCCAAGGAGUUGGAAUGCACCACCCCGUGCCCCUACCCGCAUUGGGAUGCCUUCACCAACCCAGAAACUUGCUCAACUUUGUUGUUCAGGAAAUUCCGUGGAUUUGGGGAGUUCUGUGCUGGGAGCCCAGGGAAGAGACCCAAGUCAUCAUCUACAACAUCCGGGAUCAGAGAUCCCUCCUGCAACCGGGGUGGGGCUCAGGUGCCCCUGAGGAGGACACCUGGGGCAUUGGUGCCACCUCAGCCCUCCACUUGGAUGUCUCCCAAACUUAAUGGCCAAAAAGGAGCUCUUGCAUUUUCCUCAGAAACCUGCUCCCCACUCAGGUCUCCUCCAUCUUGGGAAAUGACAUCUUGAAGUCCUGUGUUCUCUGUGACUGGUCCCAGUUACCCCAGGGGGCCCCUUCCGCUCUCCUCAGUCACCCAGGCCUCUUGCUUCUGCCUCCCCACCAGAGCCCCAGCUCCCUGUGCCCACCCCGCAGAGCCAGCCGGCCGCACCGCUGCUCUGGACUCCUGGGUCUCACCUGCCCUGGCUUAGUCUCGCGACUUUGGGGGACCCAAACCUGCGGGGACUCGGGGACUCCCACCUCCUAUGUUUGCCCUGAUCUUCCUACCAACCACCGUCAAGCUCCAGCUAACGCUUUGGUACGCAGCCUCCUUGGCACGCCGGCCCGGCGCCCUGCGCUCCCGGGGCCUGGGCGGACCCGCUCCCGCACCUGCCGGGCCAGCCCCUGGCCUCUGGCCUCCGCCCGCC